rnacentral:sRNA from 1 species
GCUGGGCUGCGACCAAUGGAAACAAAGGACAUUCCAGUAGUGCACCAGCUCCUCACCAGGUACUUGAAGCAAUUUCACCUUACGCCCGUCAUGAGCCAGGAGGAGGUGGAGCACUGGUUCUACCCCCAGGAGAAUAUCAUCGACACUUUCGUGGUGGAGAACGCAAACGGAGAGGUGACGGAUUUCCUGAGCUUUUAUACGCUGCCCUCCACCAUCAUGAACCAUCCAACCCACAAGAGUCUCAAAGCUGCUUAUUCUUUCUACAACGUUCACACCCAGACCCCUCUUCUAGACCUCAUGAGCGACGCCCUUGUCCUCGCCAAAAUGGUGAGGAGCAGACCAGGGGGUCUCUGGAGAUGUGCGGGGAAGGGGCAGUGGAGCCAUGGUGAGCACAGCUCCCGGGACGUAGCCUCCCAUGGGCUGGAGGCUCUGAGUCCUCCUCACCUGUUCUGCUUAGGCAGGGUUCCCACAGUUUUUAGCCAGAAACUCAAAACUCGGAGGGAGCAAGGAGCAUCCGAAGUGAAGGCAUUGAACUCCUCCUGAUUCAUUUCAGUGAGUUUCAUUCUCACAGGAGGCGCCACCAAGGAGCCUGAAUAGCCAGGCCUUCCCUGGGAGGACAGGGGUUCUCCUCACAGCUUUCCCAGCGUGGGAAAGGGGUGAUUGCUGUCUAUCGUGGUGAGUCAUUGGAGCGUCCAACUGCCAGCAGCGGGUGGCGAGCCCGUCUGUCAGUGCUUUGCUAUGGGUUCUGGUGACCUGUGCCCAGCCCAG